rnacentral:lncRNA from 1 species
UUUUUUUUUUUUUUUUUUUUUUUUUUAUAGAAUACCAUCAAUGUACUAGGAGAGGACAUGGAUGAUAUGGAUGAUGACAAGCCUUUCCAAGCAGGACACAAAAUCUCAGGAGAAAAGGGAUAAAUUGACUGUAAAAAAGGUAAAAAUUUGGAAGAAAAUACACCUCUAGUGUUAGGAAAAUAGAUUUGCUGUACCUGACAGCAAAUUCCCUUCACGUGAAUGGCAAAAAUCAAAGGUUGAUGGAUACUCCUCUCUCCCUUGCAGCUGGCUUUAGAAAACUCUAUUCAUUCUGAUGGUGAGCAUGUCAACUGGCUCAGCCUUCAGAGGGCAACUUGAAAAAUCACUCAGAUUUUUAAACAUCCAUACCUUUUUUUUUUUUUUUUUUAAGAUUUUAUGUAUUUAUUCAUGAGAGACACAGGCAGAGGAAGAAGCAGGCCCCAUGCAGGGAGCCUGACGUGGGACUCGAUCCCAGGUCCGCAGGAUCACACCCUGGGCUAAAGGUGGUGCUAAACCGCUGAGCCACCCGGGCUGCCCAGAUUUUAUUUAUUCAUCAGAGACAGAGACACGCAAAGAGAGAGGCUCCCUGCAGGAAGCUUGAUGCAAAAAAAAAAAGGAAGCUUGAUGCAGGGCUCAAUCCUGGGACCCCGGGGAUCAUGACCUGAGCUAAAAGCAGAUGCUCAACUACUGAGGCACCCAGGUGCCCCUAACAUCCAUACCUUUUGAUAAGCAUUUCACUUUAGUGAAAUCCUCCCACAUAUUCUCAGAAUCAACAUAAUCCUGCUGUAGGAUUGUAUAGCAAAAAAUUGUAAAUAGCCCAGAUGCCCAUCAAUAGGCAAGAUGUUGAAUAAGCUAAUCAUAAAUACCACUGAAUAUCAUGUAGCCUUCAAGAAACAAAAGGUAGAUCUAUGUGAACCAGCAAGGAGUGAUACCCAAUAUAUGUUGUCUGCCAGUGAAACAUUCAAAUGCAGAACAGUUUGUAUAACAUUUCAUCAUUCGUUUUUUAAAAAACAGGAGGAAGUUGGUUUCCAAUAAUGAUGGUUACUGAGAAUAACUGUAAUACCAUGAUACAGAUGGUGGAUGGUGGGAGCUGGUUUUCUCACUGUUGGGAGUGGGAGGUUACAGAUAAGCAGGAGUGAGGAGGCUAGGAUGAUUCACAUGGUAAUGAAUUACAGUUGGACAUACCAGCAUAAAUUCAUGUUUCAUUUAAUACUGAUACAGAUGAUCCUAUAGAGAAAUAUUUCUAGUUAUGUGUCUAUGUCCUUGAACUAAGGACUGAAAGGGCCAAGAAGCAAGGACACUGCAGUAGCAACAAGCAUACUUAGUUUCAGGUUUCUAAUAUUCUCCAGUGAAAGGAGUCACAUCUCCUCAGAGAAAUGGCAGAUUCCAGAGCCAGGGCAGAAAAAGAACAAUACAUGCCUGGGGAACACUGAGUGUCAGGAAAUGCAGAAGUACUAAACAAAAACCAAUGAUAAAGAUGGGGUUAUAGCAAAGGGACAGAAAAGCCGACUGCAAAGACUUUUCUGAAUGGCCAAAACUAAAACAAUUUCAGCAACAAAAUAAAGGGGUAUUGGAUUAUAAUCCAAAGUAUAAAAUAAAUAUCCUUGAGUCUCCACUGACAUAAACAGGAGAGACUAGAAAUCUCCCAUGCAGAAGAAAUCCAGGUAAUUUCUGUAGAUAACCCUCCCUUCGGGGAGGUGAAGGCAUAACUCCCGUUCCUUAAGUAUGAGCACUGCAGAGUGACCUCCUCCCUAGAGUACAUGUAAGUAUGGAUGGGAGAAAGUAACCCACAAUGGAGAAACCUACAGACACUACCUCAGCCAAGUGAUGUCAUUUUGAGAGCAUGUACCCUUGAUCUGAAGUGAUGAGAGUGGCAUUUUACCUGUGGUCUUCCUCUCCAAAACACAUAACCUCGGUCUAAUCAAAGAGAAAACGUCUGAUAAAUCCCAAAGACACUCUGCAAAAUACCUGACUGUUAUUCCUUAAAAGUACUGAAGUCAUCAAAAACAAGGAAAAUCAGAAACUAUCACAGCCAAGAAGAGCCUAAGGAUACAUGACAACUAAAUGUACUCUAUGGGAUCCUGGAACAGAGAGAGGCAAAAACCAAAGAAAUCUGAAUGAACUAUGAACUUUAGUUAAUAAUAACUUAGAUAUAGAUCAAAAAACACCCCAGCUAACUUUGUUUAGAGGAAAAUAAAUAUACUUGAAAAUCUGCAGGAGAUGGAAAAUUAUAAGUAAAUAUAUAGAGCAGAUAAAAAAAAUCAAAUGGAAUCCUAGAAAUGAAAAGCACAAUCACCAAAAUUAAAAACUAGGUGAAUUGAUGUGGCUUCAGAGUGGACAAAGCAAAAUAACGAAGUGGAAGAUAGAUAAGAAAUUAACCAGAAUACAGAGGCAAAAACAAAAACAAACCUGGAAGAUACGGAAGAAAGCUGAAAAUACCUGGAAGAUAGACUGAGAAAAGUGACAAAGCCAAACAGAAGGUAUUAUUUGAAGAAAUGAUGACUGAGGAUUUCCUAGAACUGAUAAAAGAUAGCAAUCCACAGAUGCAAGAAUCCCAACAAAUCCCAAAUAGGACAAAUUAUAGGAAAUCCAGCUGUGGACAUGGUAUAGUGAACUCCAUAAAACCAAAGACAAAGAGAAAAUCUUAAAAGCAGCAGAGGAAAAAUAAAUAAAGCCAUUCCUUUACCUUUAUAGUAGUGAUACUUGCUGGCUUUCACAGGAUCAAUGGAGGCCAGAAAAUGAGUGAUGGCUUCAUGGGCUGAAAGAAAUUACUCGCAACCUAGACUUCUAAACCUGGAAAAAAACAUACAGUAUUUAAAGAAUCAAGGUAAAAUAAAGAUAUUUUCAGACAAACAAGAACUGAGAGCUCUUCACCAACAGACUCACACUAAGGAAAAUUCUAGGUGAGCUCAGAGGUAAUUGCUCUAAAUGGCCUGGGGUCUCUGUCACCCAGGAGCACAGUAAAGAUACUGGCCAGCUUUGGAUGUAGAUAGACUACAGACAUGUUGCUUUCCUCCAGUAAGCAGAAGACAGACAUAGACAACACUAACAAAUCAACAAAA